UUCCUCUAGUGCUGAAGCUUUUCAGAGACAACCUAAAUGUUCUUUUUUCUGGCUCAAUAACCUUGACUUGUAAGGAAAUCAAUUUGCUGAAAAAGGGUGAAGAAAUAGGAAAUCUAGUUGUAAUAAUAUGGUUUCUCAUAUAUUUUGGAGUAAAGAAUUGGAUGGAGUACAAACUCUUGGUGGAAAGUUUACUUUUUUGCUUUCCGGUUUGGCUAAAGCCUUCCUUUUGCAGUUAUUGGAUUGAGGCAUGGGAAACAUUAGCGUUUGACAUGUGUUGGUCCAGGGGAUCCAAUUCUAAAUGUCAUCCUUGUUCCUCUUGUUGGGCAGCAAUCUGUUCAUGGGGUUAAGGAAGUAAUUUCAUGUGAGCGGGUUCAAAUUUCUGGUUAUUCAAGAACGGAAUUACGGAAGUAUGCCAAUUCUUUUAGGGUAAACUUAGCUCCUGCAGCAACAAUCCCAGAGAGGCUACAUGGUAAAAUUAAUGUUUGUUUUCACCGGAAUGCUUCACUUGGAUUGUGUGAGUGCAAGAAAGAUGAUUGGAAAACUCUUCACAAGGGGCUGUGGAGCACUGUCAUGUCGCCAUAUGAUAAAAGAUACGUUGAUGUGAAGUUCAGUGGUGAAUCAUCUGGUUCAGUUUCCUUCUCUGUUGAAGAAGGUUUCCUCUUCUCUCUCACUCUCUCUCACCAUUUUUCCUCGUCACUCUUGUUU